rnacentral:tRNA from 1 species
GGGUAGCUCAGUCGGUAGAGCAGCGGACUGAAAAUCCGCGUGUCGGCGGUUCAAAUCCGUCCC